rnacentral:rRNA from 1 species
GACGAACGCUGGCGGCGUGCUUAACACAUGCAAGUCGAACGCUGAAGCUUGGUGCUUGCACUGGGUGGAUGAGUGGCGAACGGGUGAGUAAUACGUGAGUAACCUGCCCUUGACUCUGGGAUAAGCCUGGGAAACUGGGUCUAAUACUGGAUACGACAUGUCACCGCAUGGUGGUGUGUGGAAAGGGUUUUGCUGGUUUUGGAUGGGCUCACGGCCUAUCAGCUUGUGGGUGGGGUAAUGGGGCACAAAGGCGAGGACGGGUAGCCGGCCUGAGAGGGUGACCGGCCACAGUGGGCCUGGGAACCGGCCCGGACUCCUACGGGAGGCAGCAGUGGGGAAUAUUCCACAAUGGGCGGAAGCCGGAUGCAGCGACGCCGCGUCGGGGAUGACGGCCUUCGGGUUGUAAACCUCUUUCAGCACGGAAGAAGCGAAAGUGACGGUACGUGCAGAAGAAGCGCCGGCUAACUACGUG